GCCGCGGGGACGCCGCUGCCGCCAUGGGAACCUUCGACGCGGCCGUCUUCGGCCUGGACGCGGCGCCUGACCUCCGCCUCGCCGCGCACCAGUACAACCAGCUCCUCCACCUGCUCGCCUCCGCGGACGGCGCCGUCUUCCCCGUUCACCCGGCCACCGCCGCGCGCCGCGUGUUCGCCGGCAUGCUAGAGGCCAGGGCGCCCCCGUCCGAGGCCACCAUCACUUCGCUCGCCUGCAUCUUCGCUGCAGAUGCCGAGGGCGCCUACGAAGCCUUCAGGCUCCUCUCCUCCAUGGGGCAGAAGUACGGCCUCGCGCUGCGCCUCCGGUCCUACAGCCCCGUGCUUGCCGCGUUCCGGCGCGCCGGGGAGGCUGGCAAGGCAUACGCGGUCGAGGCCCACAUGGCGGCCUCCGUUGCAUCGCCGUAAGAUCCCGAGCUCGCGCCGCUCCUUGUGGUCAGCGCGAAGGCCAGGGACGCAGACAAGGCGUUUGAGUAUAUGCACAAGCUGGGUGCCGAAGCCUGAAGGGAUGCCGAGAAGUGCAUCGAGCUAGAUCCUACAUUCUCCAAGGGAUACAUCAGGAAAGGCACAAACCAGUUUUUCAUGAAAGAGUAUGACAAAGCAAUGGAAACUUAUCAGGAAGGCCUAAAGCAUGAGUGCAUGACCCGAGUAACCAGGAGCUGCUUGAUGGUGUAAAGAGAUAUAUUCAGCAGAUCAACAAGGCGAACAGAGGCAAACUUUACCCCAGAGGAACUGAAAGAGAGACAGGGCAAAGCUAUGCAGGACCCUGAAAUCCAGAACAUCCUGACGGACCAUGUGAUGCGGCAGGUGUUGAUUGAUUUCCAAGAGAAUCCAAGGGCUGCUCAGGACGUCUCGGGAGCAUGAACGCAACGGCUGUCGGGCUUGGGCAUCAUUGGGUUCAAUGAUUGGAGACGUGGCCGUUCGUCCCCGAUGGAUCUCCACCACCACGGCCUGAGAGAGCCUAGAGAAGGGAGGCUACGGACGAGCACCUGUAGGACGACCUGCCAUCACGGCCAGCGCUUGUCGACUCCGACAACAUCCAUGUGGUCAUAGUCGAAUCCUCCUGUCCUCUCGCGCCGUGUAUAUUCAGACUUAUUUGCGUGCGCCGUAGGUUGUAUGAACAUGGAGGUGCAGUCACCCGAGGUGCAGAAGCUCCAUCACCUACCUCUACCUCCUCCACUACGCUGACAAGUCGAGGACUCAAGGUGGGAUUGCGAGUGGAAAGAACACUUUGGCCGUGCGUUGCGAGUGGAAAGAAUACCAUGAUGUUGCGAGUGGACUCGAGGAAGUGCACGGGCCAAGAUAAGUGUUAGUUUGGAUGCUAAAGUUAUUGGGAUCUCAAGCAUUGCAAGAACACUCGCCCAGGAAGCUAUCUUCAUCCUUUAAUGUGGAUGUUGUAUUCACAUUUAAACUUCCCACAAUAGUGGUGGUGUGCACUGAUAUAACAUGUAAGUUCUCUUUCCUGUCUUUUUUUUUGUAUGUUAGUUUGGCUGCUAAACUGAUUUGCAGCUCAGGCAUAUAUAGCCUACUGCCUCAGGAAGCUCAAGAGAUACAUAUCACAGGUUAUCUUAGCAAGCUCUUCAUAAGAAAACUUCCCUGUUCAUAUUCAGAUUUCUUAAAGCUAUUUAAUUAUUUUUAAAAUUGUUGUUCAUGAGGGUGUAGGGGCAGGGCUAUCACACAUUUCUCAUUGUGUUGUGGAGUGGUCUCAUUUUCAUAAUAUAUUGUAAUGCAAUUCUCUAUACUGUUAGAUGUGCUACUGAGGUGCAAAUAUGUGGAAACUAAUAUUCCUCUCUCGCAUGAAGGUUGUUCAUUGAAAAAAUGGGCGGUCAUGUCCAUUGUAUUAUGAGGUUCGUAUUCAACAAAUUCUAAGAGGAAGGUAUUAUACCUUCAGCUACUAUCAUAUUUUGUAACAUUUUUUCCUACAUAAGCAUGUUGAAGAUGUUGAAGGCUCACUUCCACAUAAGGUACCACCUUUUGCCCUUGUCAUUCAACAUCAAUGCAUAGAAACUGUGUUAGUAACUUGGCAUGUAUCUUGAAGGGGUCUAUUGUUCGAGGUGUGAAAUAUCAGUCACAUGUGUUCACUCAAACCUUUUUUCCAUCAUAUCAUUUUUCAAAUUAUUAUGGAUAAUAUUUUGUUAUGAGAUCUUUUGGCAUGUUCCACAAUCUUCAUGGAUUAUAAUUAUGCUUUGGGUUUAUGUUUUUAACAUCUUUCAAGCUCAUUGCGUUUUCUGUAGCCAUAAAUGUACCAUACAACAACUACGACAAUUUAAUCAUUUUUGUAUGCAAUGGCAUCCAAUGGCGUCCUUUUAAUAGUAUGAUAUAUAUCAUAUAUACUGAAAUAGAUCGUCAGAUGGAAGGAUAAUCGGAUUGCAGUCAAUACAAUUUUGUGUUGGCUUGUUUCAAAUUGCAAGCCACACUCAUAAUUUUAUGAGCGCCAAAUGUGCCCAUGAAAAAGUAGCUGAGACAAAAUCCUCUCUUAAGCUAACAUGAUUUGCACAAUAAAAGCUAUAGUUUUGAAUUGAGGUACACUUCUCUAAUGCUAGCCAAUUUUUUACAGCUUAAGAGUUGAUUGCCAAAUAUUUCUUUUCUGGCUAUCAACACCAAAAUUUGACCAUAAUUGUUAAGGCUUAUUAUCUGUCAUGUAUGUUAGGAAGAUCUUUGACACUGCUAAAAAGACAAACACAAAUAAAACAUGUACGUGAAGUGGUCCCGUUUUUCUUCUACAGAUUAUAUACACCUUAAACUCUUCCGCUACUAACACUUGUAUAUGUCGGUCCAUGUCAAUUUAACCUACAUAUUUCAUUAAUUCCUACCAUUUUAUUGUCAAAAUGGACGGGCGCAGCAACGCGCGCCUUCAUGAUCUAGUGUCUAUUGAUUAUUACUGGAAUUGGUUCGACAAACUAUUUAUGUGACAAAUUUACAAAUAUACUGACCCAGCCUGAUAAUAUGACUAAUCCAUACAGUGGAUAUGUGCCAAUGCUCAAAUUUGAAAAAUGAAGGAUUCAACUUUUUUUGAAAUAUUAUGGGUGAAGUCGCGAGUAUGCCCAUCAAUCGUAAAAAUAUAUAGUUCGACUUAGUCAUAGGUUUUGUAGUAGUCUUGCCUUGCCGCUGCCUCUCCUCUCUGCUCCUUGCUGCCUGUGGCUGUCCCAUCUCUCUUAGCGAUGUUGCUGCUGCACUUCUUCUGAAGCUCUUCUCAAACCCGUUGUUGCAGUUCUCCUCUGAACUCCAACUUGUUGCCUCUCUCUCUCUCUCUCUCGCUCUCAAUUUUUCUGUAAUUCUGUGAACCACUCUCUCUCUCUCUCUCUCUCUCUCUCUCUCUCUCUCUCAAUUUCUCUGUAAUUCUGUGAACCAUUACUGUGCGAAAAUAUGAUUUGUGGUAUUUGCUUGAGUGAACCUGUAAGGUUUGUACCUUCUGCAAAGUGCUAGCACCUACAUAUUAUCCAACAUUUUCUUCUAAAUGUCAAGAGGCAUGAGCCACAAAUUUUCUCAAGAAUGACCCUUGGUAUAUAUAAGGCAUGCAUUCAAUUUUAAUAAUACUCUUUUGGCUCUCAUUUAUCUGUUGCCAUAGAGCAUCGUAUAAUAUAGAAGAGUCAAUCAAACAUAGCUCUUUGAAUAUCAGACAAAAUAUUGGUUGCCUGAUUUAUUUAUAAGAAGAUUCUUCUAUGUAUUUAGUUACAUGGUUUUAAUUUGAUCGUCUUCUUUCAACUUUUUUUUGCUGACUAUGAUAUUUCCUUAGGUUCACCUUGACCUUCACUGCCCGUGUAAGAGCUUAAGUAAAUUGAUGUUGUAUCAUCAGAAUCUGUAGCCCUGCACAGUUUUUUUUGUCUAUACAUACACUUCAAUUUCUUGCUUGCACUGAAAUCCCUCUUUGUCACAGGAUGAGUCAGAAACUGAAGAUGAUGAUCCCUUGGACACAGAAGAAGCUUCCUCUGUCCUCAUCGCUGCACUGCAGUCUUUCGGCCAAGCUCCGGUGAAUGACGACGAAGAAAAAGAUAUCGUGACAGAGGUAGAUGUCUUCUUGCGUCCUACUCUAAAUGACAGGGGCUCUCCUAUCAGCAAAAUAGCUACUCUGGAGGCGCAGAUGACGAUCGCAAGAGACCGUAUCUUGAGGAUAAGUGAAUGACUAUGAGGUCUACAUGUUAAGUAUAGAAACCUGACGUGGACAAGUGUGCGCUUUGCUGCCACUUCUUUGCCAGCCGGAGUGGCCUGUUUUCAGUGACGAUCAUGGAUCAUGGUGUACAUGCAUGUAUAUGUUGUGUCCUGAUAGACUGUACUACAAGAUUUUCUUGGAAUGGUUUGGUACUUCUGUUUUAUUAUGCUAUGAAGAGUGUA